GGUCGGUUAGCUUAGUCGGUAGAGCAUACGCCUAAUAUCCUUCCGGAUAAUAGCACAGCGUAAGGUCAGCGGUUCGAUCCCGCUAUUGAUCA